rnacentral:rRNA from 1 species
UACGUAGGGGGCAAGCGUUGUCCGGAUUUAUUGGGCGUAAAGAGCGUGUAGGCGGCCAGACAGGUCAGCUGUGAAAACUCGAGGCUCAACCUCGAGACGUCGGUUGAAACCGUCUGGCUAGAGUCCGGAAGAGGAGAGUGGAAUUCCCGGUGAUAGCGGUGAAAUGCGCAGAUAUCAGGAGGAACACCAGCGGCGGAAGGCGGCGCUCUGGGCCGGUACUGACGCUGGAGACGCGAAAGCGUGGGGAGCGAACAGG